CACUUGUCUUACAAAACGUCCAAAGAAGGGAGGACGCAACGAGAAAUUACCGAAAUACUUCAGUAGUGUAACAAGCCCAGACAUCUUCAUAUGGUAAGGUCUAUGCCCAGUGUGGGGCUUGAACUCAUGCUCCUGAGAUCAAGACUUGCACGCUCCACCGAAGUCAGCAAGAUCCUGAGACCAGACCUGAGCGGAGAUCUAGGGUCAGACGCUCAACCGACUGGGCCUCCCA